GAAGGCUCCAGCUGUGACAAAUUGCAGGGGAACCAUGAGACAUCCCCAUGGGGAGAGUCGCACGUGUCAGGAGGUGUUUGGAGGGACUGUGGCUGCCAGGCAUCCCUGAACAGAAACUGUGUCCUCUUGAGUUCUCUGGCUGGGAACAGUGAACUCAUCCAUCAGUGAACUCAUCCCUCAUCCAGGCAGGCUCAGGUUCUCAUGGCCUGGCCUAGACUUCCCAAUCACCCCACCGCUCACAGUGAGUCUCCCUGUUACUGGGAGAAAAGAUCAAGGGAGCUGCUGCUGGAUGGACUUCAGCUUUGUCUUGAUGUGGAGGAGAGCAGGAAUGCUGUCAAUGCCAGGCAUCAGUCUUUCUGUUGCAGACUCCAGGCAUUAUUGGUUUGGGCCCAGUUCCCCCAAGUUCUUUUCAAACCAAGUGGCUGUGCUGAGGCGACCCUGUGGGCAGGUGCCUUGCUCUGCCACCCUCCCUCUUUGGCUGCAUGGCUCCCUGCAUGUCCCACCAGCCAAGCCUGCCGUGCCAAGCUGCCAUGUCCAGCCCCGUGCACAGGGCACCCUGUGAGCACCAGGCUCUGAGCGUGCUGCCUCACAGCCUGCAGUGCAGAGGUGGCCCCAGGGCACUUCCCAGGGAUUUCCCACCCACGGGUGCCACCACCCUUCCGGAAGGAAGCAGUCAGCCUUGUUUUGAGCAGCUGCCUUGCAAAUGCAUCCUCUAGCAUGCAGCUGCCUGAGCCAGGACAAAGCAACCUGUGGCCUCAAGGAGAGAAACACAGCAUUGAAAACUGACAGUGCUGCACACAGAGCAAGUGAUGCUCUCCACUAACUCCUGUGACAAUCACCUUUCUGCUUAUCAGUCUUGGUCAGGAACAGGAAUGACCUCUAUAGUUUCUUUUCCUGCCUGCUGUUGUCUUUGCAUCUGCUGCAGAGCAGAAAUUCAAGGAGAUGGAUGCAGACCUUGGUCUGCUUGGUGGAAAUACUUCUAGUGUUUUCAGGUUAGAUAAAGGUCUUUCACUA